ensembl:lncRNA
AAUAAUUGUAAGUUUCUAAAUAUUAAUCAAGUGUCGAUUGCCCCUCCUGUAAUAAAAGACACAUUAGUUACAAAGAUAGUUUUAUUCAAAGAAAUAUUGGCAUUAUUUGGACAAACAAAAUACGCGAUAUUAUUUGGAUGUACUUUCAGCGAUCACUCACUAGAUGGCACCAUUGAGGAAGAUACAGCAUCUGCAAGCACAAGACAUGGAUCAGAACAAGUAUGACCGUGCAAAAGCGGACAAUCUGCAUGUAAUUUCCAUCAGGCCCUGCCUUGUCAGGGGCAGGGAGGCACGUUAUCCUCAGAUUAAAUCAGAGCCCAGUGCAAAGACAUCACAAGAAACUGCAGGGCCUUCUAACAUGCCUGCAAAUCAAGGAAUCUGGAGCAUCACGAGUACUGACCUGAUGUUUGAUGUUAACAGUCAGCUCAUGGCACUAGGUCACAGGUCCUGCAAGACGAUGAAAAAGCACGUUAAUAAUCAUCCAUGAGGUACGUAAGGCCAAGUCACUGCAUCCAUGUUAUCCUCAGUCUCUGGAUUGUCAAGUCCAGAGAGGCACGCUAUCCACAGAGUUUCAGAGCCCAGUGCAAAGACAUCAUAAGAAAAUAAUAAUAUAAGCUUACUCCCGUAAAACCAAACAUCCAUACUAACCUCAGAGAUCCUUGGUGGCCUGAUCCACUUCCUGCAAGACAAGGAGAAGGUCAGCGUGUUAGUGAGAUGCCAUGAGGCGCCACUAGGCUAGGCUAACACCUGUAGCUAGUCUCCUCAGUCUCCGGAUUGUCAAGUCCAGAGAGGCACGUUAUCCACAUGGUUUCAGAGCCCAGUGCAAAGACAUCACAGGAGAGGGCCCAUGCAUUGAUGGACGUUGUAAAGUAGAGUUGGUCUACAGGAGAAGAUGACUUGGAAAUAGUCCAACACGUGGCUAUCAGAUGUAGCUACCUAGCUAGAAUGAUGCUAACGUUAGCCGGACACAUGUGCAGUUAACUGGUCCAGAAUCCAUAAUACAGCUCAAUAAAUAAUUGAUAAGCACGUCAUUGACAAUAUUCUUAACAUGAUUAUCAAACAAAACGAUAAUUAAAGGAACUCUCGCGGUAGAUGGUUGAGAGGGAGCUUGAUGCUUACCAACUAGACACAUUCCUGGAUGACGAGACAACGAUGCCGGGCG